rnacentral:rRNA from 1 species
UAGUAUCAGCGUGCCAGCCGCCGCGGUAAUACGAAGGGGGCUAGCGUUGCUCGGAAUUACUGGGCGUAAAGGGCGCGUAGGCGGAUAGUUUAGUCAGAGGUAAAAGCCCAGGGCUCAACCUUGGAACUGCCUUUGAUACUGGCUAUCUUGAGUUCGGGAGAGGUGAGUGGAAUGCCGAGUGUAGAGGUGAAAUUCGUAGAUAUUCGGCGGAACACCAGUGGCGAAGGCGACUCACUGGCCCGAUACUGACGCUGAGGCGCGAAAGCGUGGGGAGCAAACAGGAUUAGAUACCCUGGUAGUCCACGCUGUAAACGAUGAGUGCUAGUUGUCGGCAUGCAUGCAUGUCGGUGACGCAGCUAACGCAUUAAGCACUCCGCCUGGGGAGUACGGUCGCAAGAUUAAAACUCAAAUGAAUUGACGGG